rnacentral:rRNA from 3 species
AGGGAAUAUUGCGCAAUGGACGGAAGUCUGACGCAGCGACGCCGCGUGAGCGAUGAAGGCCUUCGGGUCGUAAAGCUCUGUCCUUGGGGAAGAAGGUCUUCGGACUUGACGGUACCCAAGAAGAAAGCCCCGGCUAACUACGUGCCAGCAGCCGCGGUAAUACGUAGGGGGCGAGCGUUGUCCGGAAUUACUGGGCGUAAAGGGUGCGUAGGCGGCCCUUUAAGUCAGAUGUGAAAGGCCACGGCUUAACCGUGGGAUUGCAUUUGAAACUGGAGGGCUUGAGUGUCGGAGAGGGUAGUGGAAUUCCCAGUGUAGCGGUGAAAUGCGUAGAUAUUGGGAGGAACACCAGUGGCGAAGGCGACUACCUGGACGAUAACUGACGCUGAGGCACGAAAGCUAGGGGAGCAAACA